rnacentral:rRNA from 1 species
AUUGAACGCUGGCGGCAGGCCUAACACAUGCAAGUCGAGCGAGCGGCGGACGGGUGAGUAAUGUCUGGGAAACUGCCCGAUGGAGGGGGAUAACUACUGGAAACGGUAGCUAAUACCGCAUACCAUCGGAGGUGCCCAGAUUGGAUGUGCCAGGUGGUGGGGUAACGGCUCACCUAGGCGACGAUCCCUAGCUGGUCUGAGAGGAAGACCAGCCACACGGGAACUGAGACACGGUCCCGACUCCUACGGGAGGCAGCAGUGGGGAAUAUUGCACAAUGGGCGCAAGCCUGAUUCAGCCAUGCCGCGUGUGUGAAGAAGGCCUUCGGGUUGUAAAGUACUUUCAGCGGGGAGGCGUUACCCGCAGAAGAAGCACCGGCUAACUCCGUGCCAGCAGCCGCGGUAAUAC